AUCACUUGGGGAUCUUGUUGAAAUGCAGGUUCUGAUUUAGUGAGUCUGACGUAGGACCAGAGAUUCUGCUUUUCUGACAAGCUCUCAGGUGAUGCCAC
rnacentral:pre_miRNA from 1 species